UUCAUCUGCAGCGGCAGCCGUGAUCUCAUCCUCCAAAAUCCUGGGAGGCCGUCCCCUCCCCCAAAUUUCGGGGAGUCCUUCUCCUAGCCAUCCCCUCCCUCGUCGCCGCAUCCCCCUCGUCGCCGCCUCCCUCUGGUCGUCGCCGCCGCCUCCUCCUCGCCACCUCCCUCUUGCCGUCGCCGCCUCUCCCUCCUCGCCACUUCCCUCUCGCCGUCGCCGCCUCCCCCACGUCCUCCACCUGCGCCGGCCCAGCACCGACCCGUGCCGUGCCGCUCCAUCCACGGAGCGCCGGCACCACCAGCCGCACCCGUCCCCGACAGCAACGCGCACACCACGGCAGCAUCUCUGGAGAGCACCGGAUCGACCCAAUCGCCUCCAAAGAUGGAUGCUUUCUUUAUCGAUCUCAACGAUGCAGCACAGGGUGUUGGUAUUGGAGAAGUUUCUGAAUCUUCCAUGGGCGGUUUCUGCUUCCAAGGUGGGGGCAACAAGGAACAAAUAGACCAACUUAUCAACAUAUGAAGACAACAUGUUCUGCAAAUCGUGGCUGGAAAUUAGCUGCGAUCCUGUUGUCAACACCGGCCAGAGGAAGGAAGCCUUUUGGAUUCGUGUGCUCAACAGAUACAAUUCCAAAUGCAGCAGCUAUCUGACGAGGACCCAAAAAUCCAUUAUGAGUCGUUGGGAUCACAUCAAGGCUGAAGUAAGCAAGUUCUCUGGAUACAUGGCUGAGAUGAUCCGUUCCAAUUCUAGUGGCAUGUCGGAUGCAGAUAAGUCAGUGGCUGCUGCUACUGAUUUUGCUAGUGUGGAGAAGCACAAUUUCACGCUCAUGCACUGAACAAAAAAAAAGAAAAAACUACAGUUUCUAAAGCAUUACAACUGAAGCAAAAGAAAAAAACUAGAUUGAACCAUAUCGCAUCCAGUUGUGCUCUAUGAGAUCCUUCUGAAGUUGGAUAUGGCGAGCUUGGUCACGCAACUUGUGAUGUGUUGCUACAAGUGCUUCCCGUUCCGCUACAUUUCCACCUGAAGGAUUGACUUGUCUGCCAAUGUUGUCGAAGUUGGUAUUGAUGGCCUCAGUCUUCUUAUCCUUGACAAUCAUGUUAUGUAUGAUAAUACAAGCGGUCAUAAUAUCAGAAA